GAUGAACGCUGGCGGCGUGCCUAAUACAUGCAAGUCGAGCGAACAGACGAGGAGCUUGCUCCUCUGACGUUAGCGGCGGACGGGUGAGUAACACGUGGAUAACCUACCUAUAAGACUGGGAUAACUUCGGGAAACCGGAGCUAAUACCGGAUAAUAUAUUGAACCGCAUGGUUCAAUAGUGAAAGACGGUUUUGCUGUCACUUAUAGAUGGAUCCGCGCCGCAUUAGCUAGUUGGGAAGGUAACGGCUUACCAAGGCAACGAUGCGUAGCCGACCUGAGAGGGGGGAUGGGCACACGAGAAGUGAGGCACGGUGCAAACUUCUGAGGGGAGCCACAGUCGGGAAUCCUACGGGAGGGGGGAAAGGCGGAUAGAGCAAAGCCGGGGGAAUGAUGAAGGUCCUCCGAUCCGUAAACUCUGUUAUUAGGGAAUAACAAAUGUGUAAGUAACUAUGCACGUCUUGACGGUACCUAAUCAGAAAGCCACGGCUAACUACGUG
rnacentral:rRNA from 1 species